rnacentral:rRNA from 1 species
AUGAACGCUAGCGACAGGCUUAACACAUGCAAGUCGAGGGGUAACAGGGUAGCAAUACCGCUGACGACCGGCGCACGGGUGAGUAACGCGUAUGCAACCUGCCUAUAACUGGGGAAUAGCUCCCUGAAAGGGGGAAUUAACACCGCAUAACACUAUUGAUUCGCAUGGAUUAGUAGUUAAAUGUAGCGAUACAGGUUAUAGAUGGGCAUGCGUGACAUUAGCUAGUUGGUGAGGUAACGGCUCACCAAGGCCACGAUGUCUAGGGGUUCUGAGAGGAAGGUCCCCCACACUGGUACUGAGACACGGACCAGACUCCUACGGGAGGCAGCAGUGAGGAAUAUUGGUCAAUGGGCGCAAGCCUGAACCAGCCAUGUCGCGUGCAGGAAGACUGCCCUAUGGGUUGUAAACUGCUUUUAUAGUAGAAGAAACACAUCUACGCGUAGAUGUCUGCCAGUAUACUAUGAAUAAGCAUCGGCUAACUCCGUGCCAGCAGCCGC